AAGACCCCAUGGAGCUUUAAACCCGACAGCACCCACUUAUUUAACACCUUCUUAUCCGCCUGGCCCCUGUCUGCUCGGUUUUGGGUUGGGGUGACCGCGGAGCAUAAAAUAGCCUCCACGAAAGAAGGGAUGAUUCCCUCAUUUUAGAACUACACUUCCAAAGACUAACAAAUUAAUUUUAAGUGAUCCGAUACCCGUAUUCGAUCAACGAACCAAGUUACCCUGGGGAUAACAGCGCAAUCUACCUCAAGAGCCCCUAUCGACAGGUGGGUUUACGACCUCGAUGUUGGAUCAGGGUAUCCCAGUGGUGCAGCAGCUACCAAAGGUUCGUUUGUUCAACGAUUAA
rnacentral:rRNA from 1 species